UUAACUUUAUCUUCUUAUAAAUGACAAAAUAAGUGUUGAGAUAGAAACAAUUCAUGAAGGAAAAAGAGAGUGAAAUUCAACACACAUAAAACAUGAAACAAAAUAAAAUAAAUCAAGCAAAAACGAAGUUGAUGUCGAUGAAUACGCAAUUGUUGAGAAACCCUUGAUUGCAUGCCCCUCAAGCUAUUCCACCUCCUUUUGGUUUUGGUGAUGUUAUUUAGUUAUGAUGAUAUGAUUCAUCAGUUUAAUAAGAGACUAAUAUCCAUUGAGAUCGGGGGAUAUCUCCAAUGUAUGCCAUUGUUGAGUCCUAGGGGAAUUUGAUGAUCAUGUUAUCCUUUGACCAAAAGCAAUCUGAUUAUAAAUAUUAUAUCAUGAGUGCAAUUCCAAAACCCCAUGUUUUUAUUUCCAAGCACUUGAUGCAAAGAUCCUUACCAAGGAGAAUACUCUUUGUAAGAGUUUCGGUUUGCUAUUUGUCUAGUUUGAUGUUUAGAUAGAUGUUUGAAUAGAAAUGUGGACAUUACAAAGGCAGUAAACAAAUAAGAGACAGAGAAAAAUAGGAACACAAACUUUGUUAAUUCAAUUCAAAAAUAAUCUUACUUUGCGAUUUAUUAGUAACCUACUGACUAGCCUAAUCUACCCUUACACAAGAAGUAAUUGCAACCUAAUAGAUAACCUGAUUUGUUAGAAUCACUCACCCAAAUUACCACACUUACAAAACUAUAAACUGAGUGCCAAAUACGAACAAAAGCCUAACAACAAAUACAAAACAAUGUAGUAUCAACACCCU
rnacentral:lncRNA from 1 species